rnacentral:rRNA from 1 species
GACGAACGCUGGCGGCGUGCUUAACACAUGCAAGUCGAACGGUGAAGCGCCUUCCUUUUUGGUGGGUGUGGAUGAGUGGCGAACGGGUGAGUAACACGUGAGUAACCUGCCCCCUUCUUCUGGAUAACCGCAUGAAAGUGUGGCUAAUACGGGAUAUUCUGGGUCUGUCGCAUGAUGGGUCUGGGAAAGAUAUUGUUUCGGUGGGGGAUGGGCUUGCGGCCUAUCAGCUUGUUGGUGGGGUGAUGGCCUACCAAGGCGGUGACGGGUAGCCGGCCUGAGAGGGUGGACGGUCACACUGGGACUGAGACACGGCCCAGACUCCUACGGGAGGCAGCAGUGGGGAAUAUUGCACAAUGGGCGCAAGCCUGAUGCAGCGACGCCGCGUGAGGGAUGGAGGCCUUCGGGUUGUGAACCUCUUUCGCCAGUGAAGCAGGCCUGCCUCGUUUGUGGGUGGGUUGACGGUAGCUGGAUAAGAAGCGCCGGCUAACUACGUG